rnacentral:rRNA from 1 species
UGAGCAAUCUGCCCUUCUCAUCGGAAUAACCAUUGGAAACGAUGGCUAAUGCCGAAUAUGACCUCGGAUCACAUGUUCUGAGGUGGAAAGCUCCGGCGGAGAAGGAUGAGCUCGCGGCCUAUCAGCUUGUUGGUGAGGUAAUGGCUCACCAAGGCAUUGACGGGUAGCCGGCCUGAGAGGAUGGCCAGCCACAUUGGGA